CUUUUUGGUAUAUUUAAUUUUUUAUAUUUUGACACCUCUUGGUGAAAAUUCAGGCUCCGCCACUGCAGGUAACUCUAGUCUCUAUGUAAUCACUGCUUACUUACCAAUAACAUGGAUUAAUUAAAUUACACUAAUGCUGUAAGCAUCCUAUUGCAAAAAAAAAAGUUGAGAAUUUCCAUAUACAUGGCUGCAAAUGCAAAUAUAAGGUAACCAUGAAGUAGGAGAAACAUUCAAAACUAUCCCCUAGAAAUGCAACUGCACAUUAGGUGUAUAAUUAAAAUUCAUUUCAUUGCGAACCCCUUCUCUUUUUUUUGUGCCGGAAAGAUAGCUGUCGAAUUUAAAUGUUUUGCUAGAAUGUGGAGAAUGAUUUAUGUGGGACCAUAUUUGUUGCUUUGGUUUUGGUGGGAUUGCAGCGAGAAAUCUGCUGAGAUUCAGUCUUAUUAUAGAUGGUAAUUCUAACUUUAGGACUUUGCUUGGAACUAGAAAAGAGAAGGGAAUGGAAGGAAAAAAAUACAAACACUUUCCGUACUUCUUAACAAUAUAAAGAGAAAGGAAGAAGAGAGUAACAAUUUUUGGAUCCACUAGUUUUCUCCCUAUUGUCCUCUAUUUUCCGUCUUUGUAUUUGUCCCUUCCUUUCUCUUCCAUUCCAUUGUUACUGAAGAUAGGGCUAAGCUUCAUCAAGUUAGAACUUUUAACUGAAAUUAGAAUGCCACCAAUAAAAAGAAAAGAAUUAGAAUGUUAAGGCCUGGCAUUUUGUAGCAUUCUUUUACAAUGUGCAGGAUUCUCAUAAUAUCAGAUUUGUUCCUUUUUUUUUUUUUGGUUAAACUUCUUUCUCCUAUGAUAUCUCAAAUAUGCAGAUUGUUGACUUAGAAGAAAAGAAAAAGGAAGCUCUUGAUAAUGAAGCUAAAAUAAGGAAGCGAAAUCAAGCUAUCACAAGUUCAACAUCAAACGAUAACAUCUUGAAGAAACAAAGCAUCAAUGAUAUCUUUGAGGAAGAUUUUGAGGAGCUGAUGACAGAUCAAUCCAUUUGCAGUGAAAGCCAGCUAAAUUUUGACUUGUGCUUCGAAGGCUGUGAUUGAGAAGAAUAGUAGCUGCUGCUUAUUUUGAUGGUUGACGACUCCACUUGUUGUUACCAUGCCUAACUUAGAUCUAGUGGUAGUUAGGUCUAAACCAUUGUACAUAUAAUAUAACCCUCUCCUUUUCCAUGCUUAACUUAGACUAUAGUUGUAUUUAAGUAGAAGUGAUUGUAAAUACAACCCUCUAUUUUCUUGAGGACUUGCUUUUGAUACUGUUUUAACUUAGAUUCUGGUUGUAAAAUCAAGUAGAAGUGAUUGUAAAUAUUAACCUCUAGCUUCUUUUGAGGACGUAAUUGCUUGCAUCA